UUCAUCUUCUUAUUCUCCAUCUCUUCUUUAUCUUUGUCUCCCUGCCAAUAGAUUAACUGUAUAAUACUUCUAAUACCCCUACCACUAUUUUCUCCAUCUUCUAACUACUUCUAUUUCCACAUGCCUUUUAUCUUCAAAACCCUAUCUUCGUUUCUUAUCAUCACAAUCAGAAAACAUAACGUUCUCCCUCGAAAAUCAACAAGUAUAAACCUUAAUUUGUUCAAUUUCUCACCUGUCACUACUAACAUUCUCCGAAGUUUAACUUUAAUUUUAUAGAUCUACACUUCUGUUCUGAUCAGUUUGUGGUUUUCUUUGCAUAUUGUUUAAGAGGUUAAACAUUUGUGGAUGUUUCUUACAAGCAGUUAAGAUCUUGGAUAUCACCACUGCUGCUCAAUCCCAGGUGAUUCUUAGUUUGCAGGACAAUUUGCAAUGCUUGGACAAUAAAUAUGCGAGACAUGUUAAAACACAUGAGGUUGCACUCAAGAAAAAAGGCUUCUCGGACGGUCCAUGGUCACAGAAUAAUCUUGAUAAUGGGAUGGCUUGUUAAUUCCCGUCCAUAUGCCUCUUGGGGGUGUUAUCAUUAUUGGAGAGGAAACAAUUGUUUAUUGUAGUGCCGACGUAUUUAAAGAAAUCCCUA